rnacentral:rRNA from 1 species
AUACGUAUGUCCCAAGCGUUAUCCGGAUUUAUUGGGCGUAAAGCGAGCGCAGACGGUUAUUUAAGUCUGAAGUGAAAGCCCUCAGCUCAACUGAGGAAUUGCUUUGGAAACUGGAUGACUUGAGUGCAGUAGAGGAAAGUGGAACUCCAUGUGUAGCGGUGGAAUGCGUAGAUAUAUGGAAGAACACCAGUGGCGAAGGCGGCUUUCUGGACUGUAACUGACGUUGAGGCUCGAAAGUGUGGGUAGCAAACAGGAUUAGAUACCCUGGUAGUCCACACCGUAAACGAUGAGUGCUAGGUGUUUGGGGGUUUCCGCCCCUAAGUGCCGCAGCUAACGCAUUAAGCACUCCGCCUGGGGAGUACGACCGCAAGGUUGAA